rnacentral:rRNA from 1 species
GACAGAGGGUGCAAACGUUGCUCGGAAUUACUGGGCGUAAAGCGCGUGUAGGCGGCUUGGCAAGUCGGGUGUGAAAGCCCUGGGCUCAACCUAGGAAGUGCACUCGAAGCUGCUUCGCUUGAGUGUCAGAGAGGAAAGCGGAAUUCUCGGUGUAGAGGUGAAAUUCGUAGAUAUCGAGAGGAAUAUCGGUGGCGAAGGCGGCUUUCUGGACGACUACUGACGCUGAGACGCGAAAGCGUGGGGAGCAAACAGG